rnacentral:rRNA from 1 species
GUGGGGAAUAUUGCACAAUGGGGGGAACCCUGAUGCAGCGAUGCCGCGUGAAGGAAGAAGGUUUUCGGAUUGUAAACUUCUAUCAGCAAGGAAGAAAAAGGACAGUACUUGACUAAGCAGCCCCGGCUAACUACGUGCCAGCAGCCGCGGUAAUACGUAGGGGGCAAGCGUUAUCCGGAAUUACUGGGUGUAAAGGGUGCGUAGGCGGCAAUGCAAGUCAGUCGUGAAAGGUAUGGGCUUAACCCGUAAACUGCGAUUGAAACUGCAUAGCUAGAGUGCAGGAGAGGAAAGCGGAAUUCCUAGUGUAGCGGUGAAAUGCGUAGAUAUUAGGAAGAACACCAGUGGCGAAGGCGGCUUUCUGGACUGCAACUGACGCUGAGGCACGAAAGCGUGGGGAGCAAACAGGA